GACGAACGCUGGCGGCGUGCUUAACACAUGCAAGUCGAACGGAAAGGCCCUGCUUUUGUGGGGUGCCCGAGUGGCGAACGGGUGAGUAACACGUGAGUAACCUGCCCUUGACUUUGGGAUAACUUCAGGAAACUGGGGCUAAUACCGGAUAGGAGCUCCUGCUGCAUGGUGGGGGUUGGAAAGUUUCGGCGGUUGGGGAUGGACUCGCGGCUUAUCAGCCUGUUGGUGGGGUAGUGGCUUACCAAGGCUUCGACGGGUAGCCGGCCUGAGAGGGUGACCGGCCACAUUGGCACUGUGAUACGGCCCAGACUCCUACGGGAGGCAGCAGUGGGGAAUAUUGCACAAUGGGCGGAAGCCUGAUGCAGCAACGCCGCGUGCGGGAUGACGGCCUUCGGGUUGUAAACCGCUUUCGCCUGUGACGAAGCGUGAGUGACGGUAAUGGGUAAAGAAGCACCGGCUAACUACGUG
rnacentral:rRNA from 1 species